rfam:Candidatus Yanofskybacteria bacterium RIFCSPHIGHO2_02_FTLL_38_22b rifcsphigho2_02_scaffold_1891, whole genome shotgun sequence.
GAGCGGCUCCCUGUCGAGUAAGGCAGCUUCGCGCAGAAAUGCGCGAUGAAAAACCGGGCUAAUUCGGGGAAACCUUUAAACUGGCAAUCCCGAGCUAAAUUCACGCAAGUGAUAAAUGUGUAGAGACUAUAUACCCGGGUCCCUUUGGGGACAUAAGAUAGUCCACCCCAUUACGAAAGUUAUGG